rfam:Anopheles gambiae M scf_1925488809 genomic scaffold, whole genome shotgun sequence.
ACCCAUGACGGGCAUGUUGUUAAGUCGUACGAGUUGACGACUGUACCACAAGACCGGCUACAGAACGGUAACAUGUCUCUCAAUUAUCCAAGCUUGGGUAUACGGGGAAACCCAACCCCUUGGGCGGAUGGGUUGCAUGGCUAAAUUGAGAGGG